UACGUAGGGUGCAAGCGUUAAUCGGAAUUACUGGGCGUAAAGCGUGCGCAGGCGGUUAUGUAAGACAGGUGUGAAAUCCCAGGGCUUAACCUUGGAACUGCAUUUGUGACUGCAUAGCUAGAGUACGGUAGAGGGGGAUGGAAUUCCGCGUGUAGCAGUGAAAUGCGUAGAUAUGCGGAGGAACACCGAUGGCGAAGGCAAUCCCCUGGACCUGGUACUGACGCUCAUGCACGAAAGCGUGGGGAGCAAACAGG
rnacentral:rRNA from 1 species